GAAACUAUAAAAGUCAUACAUGGAUCUUCAUUGAAGCUGUAUAUUUUUUUAUAAAGCAAGUAUAUUGACUAGUUCUUCUGAAAGAUUGCUUAUAAAAUGUAAUUUCAAAUGACCUUGGCACAAAACAACCAAAAAAGAUGCUAUUUUUCCAAGUCCUGGUUAGAAGCAUAAAUGGCUUCACGCACAGAACAAAAAUUUGUGAGAAUUAAUUUCAUUCUAUGCGAUGAAGCUAUAAAAGAUUUUAUUGUAUAAGUUAAUUUUCUCACUCAGCCCUCCAAAAUGUCCUAUUCUAUGUACAGAAAUUACCAAAAGAAUACUGUCUUUAUUAUUAGGAUAAAAAAUUCAUAGCAAGAUAGUUGUCUUAAGAAGAGCUUCCUGGAGCUGGGGUUGUGGCUCAGUGGUAGAGUGCUCAUCUAGCACCUGCGAAGCCCUGGGUUCGAUCCUCAGCACCACAUAAAAAUAAAUAGAAUAGGGCUGGGGCUAUAGCUCAGUGGCAGAGUGCUUGCCUAGUAUAUGUGAGGAAUUGAGUUUGAUCCCCAGAACCACAUAAAAAUAAACAAAAUAAAGGCAUUCUGUCCAUCUACAACUACUAAAUAAAUAAAUAAAUAAUAAAGAUAUUGUGUCCAACUACAACUAAAAAAUAUUUUUAAAAAGGAGAUCUUCCUAAGGGUUUACUCAAAAGAAUUGUUUAUUUCCUCUUUCUCCCCCUGCCUUUUGUGUAAAAUCUGAUAUUUUAUGUCCAUUGUAAAAUCUUUAUUUUUCUUGUGUGAGAAUGGACUGAAAAAAGAGUGGGGUCAUGAUGCCUAUAACUAGAAAGCAUACUUAUUAAAGUUAUUUGUGGACAUACCAAGGCCUCAACUAACUUGAGAAGCUUACCUCUACUGUAUUAUCAACCCAUCUAUAUCCUUAUCAUCUUCCCUGUGGUCAUCCCUGGUUGGGAUUCUGCCUUAUUUCUCUGUUUAGGAUUUACACAGUGUCACUUUCAAUGACAAUUAAGCUAAACAAUUGACACACAAAUAACAAAGCAACAAUGUAUUGCUUUGUUAUUUACAAAAUUCCUACUAGUGUUGUAUUGGGAACAGGACAGUACAAGUCAGGUAGAAAGGACAAUUGGAUUGAGGCUUGGAUUAUGAUCCAUUGUAAGUCAACUUCAGUUUUUUUCAGAUACUUUAGCAUAAACCAUGUGUUACCAGUAUGUGUGUUGGCUUAAAUCCACACCCUAAUGAUGGUCUGUAUUCUAUUAGGAACAUGUACUUAAGAGAUGGUUAACUAACAUUUAAUCCACAUUCCACAGGUGACUACUACAUACGCUUUAGCUCUGUGUACUUCUGAUCAACACCAGAGUUUUGUUAGUGUUCUGAAUGUUACGAAUGGAUUUUUGUUGAUGAAAUUAGUUCACUGAGAUUUAUGUAUAGAUGAGUGCAGUGGUGCAUGCCUGCAAUCCCAGCAACUCAAGGAGUUAAGGCAGGAGGAGGGAAAGUUCAAAGACAGCCUGGGCAACUUAGCAAGAACCUGCCUCAAAAUAAAAAGUAAAAAGCACUGGGAAUGUGGCUCAGUACAGGAUAUGUCCCUGGGCUCAAUCCCCAGUACUGAAAAAAAAAAAAGAUGUAUGUGUAAAAAACAAAAUGAGUAAUUAUGUGAUAUGAUGGAUAUGUUAAUUUUAUUAUAUUUUAAUCUGAGAUUU
rnacentral:lncRNA from 1 species